rnacentral:tRNA from 1 species
UUCUUGGUGGUUCAGUGGUUAGAACUCUGCGCUCUCAUUGUCGAGGCCCUAGGUUCAAUGCCUGGUUAGGGAA